rnacentral:lncRNA from 1 species
GGUAUACGUCUUUGUCUUUUUAUAAUAUCAGCUAAAGAACCGCCAUCCAUGUAUUCUAGAGCAAUACUUAUUUGCCCUGAAUCAGGCGUGUAAAACGCUCCAUAAAAUUCAACAAGACCUUGAUAACAAGGGGCCUCGCACAAUGUUCUUAUCUCGACCUUCUCAAAGAUGUUGAUCUUCUUUAACGCGAUUAUCCUAUGAGUAGGAAUAUGAAUCGCC